AUUGAACGCUGGCGGCAGGCUUAACACAUGCAAGUCGAGCGGAUGAUGGGAGCUUGCUCCUUGAUUCAGCGGCGGACGGGUGAGUAAUGCCUAGGAAUCUGCCUGGUAGUGGGGGACAACGUUUCGAAAGGAACGCUAAUACCGCAUACGUCCUACGGUAGAAAGCAGGGGACCUUCGGGCCUUGCGCUAUCAGAUGAGCCUAGGUCGGAUUAGCUUGUUGGUGAGGUAAUGGCUCACCAAGGCGACGAUCCGUAACUGGUCUGAGAGGAUGAUCAGUCACACUGGAACUGAGACACGGUCCAGACUCCUACGGGAGGCAGCAGUGGGGAAUAUUGGACAAUGGGCGAAAGCCUGAUCCAGCCAUGCCGCGUGUGUGAAGAAGGUCUUCGGAUUGUAAAGCACUUUAAGUUGGGAGGAAGGGUUGUAGAUUAAUACUCUGCAAUUUUGACGUUACCGACAGAAUAAGCACCGGCUAACUCUGUGCCAGCAGCCGCGGUAAGAC
rnacentral:rRNA from 1 species